CUCUUCCAGCUCCUCUUCCUGGUGUUUCUGGAACAGGCCUCGAGGGUCGUCGCCCACAGUACGGCCUAGAAGGCCAGAGGAGGGCUUGGCCAGUGACUUUUGGUGAGCGCCUCUUCUCGCCCCUGCCAGGAGAGCCUCAUCACUCCGUCCUUCUGUGUGACCCCUGCCUCUUCAGCAUCACGCCCCUCCCCCAGGCUCCAGCCACUUUGUGCCAGCUGCAGCCACAGCCCCUUCGACACUCCCAAAGAGCCCUGCGCUCCAGGUUCCAGCACCCCCAUCCUGCGCCCUCUUCUCCACACGCGCAUCCCCCCAGCUUCUCUCGCACCCCAGAGGCCUCCUGACACCCCCAGCCCCGCGCUUACUGGUGCCUUCAGGCAGGCUCAGGACGCCGUCGACCUCCACCCAGCGGUAACAAGGGAACCUGACCUCGUCCCCGGCUCCGGGGCCCUACACGGAGAUCCAGCUGCAGAACCUGAAGGAAGUGACGUUUGCGCAGUUUCACAAACAUCAGCGGCCCCAGGUACUCCGGUACUUCCACCUUGAGUUCUGUCUCCUGCGGGCGACAGAAGAGGCUCAGCCCCGGUGGGGCCUGGCGGGAGGGGCACCCGGCUGAGCCCUGCUCCCUCCAGCGCCCACGCCCUUCCUCGGAGCCUCUGAGAGGAGGAGACGUAUCGGGGUGGGGGGACUGAGCCAGAGAGAGAGGGACCGCGCCGAGCAGGUGGCCCCAGGACUCGGUUCUGAGGGGACGGGGACGGCAGGUGGGAAGGUGCGCUCCUGCCUUCACUUUCUCCUCCCUGUGGUCACUGACUGUGCCAAGCGCUGGGCUGAGCGCUGCCGCGCCCUGGACGAGCGCGCUGUGGAGCCCGGACGCGCUGGUGGCAAUUCCCGCUGUGCGACCCCUCCACCCCACCCCGCCCGAGGCUGAGGACCUGCAGGGGCCCCACCGGCCUGGGGACAACCUUCCCGGAGACCUGGAGGCGGAGAGGGCUCAGCCAGGGAGAGUGACAGAAAGGGAAGGCAGGGGAAAGGCGCGCAGAAAGAGAGCGGCGGGGAAGGGAGGGCGAGCAGCAUCUUGGAUCUGGAGCUCAGAGCCCAGGUGUGGGGGGUCAGCAGGUCCGGAGGCUCUCGAAGGUGGCGCCAGGGGCUUUGGAUUUGGUCCCGAGAACAAGCGGGAGCCGUUCGAAUGUGUUAAGCAGGGGGAGUGAAUUAGGGAGAAAUCAUUCCGGCUUCAGAAGGGCUUGGAAGGUCUGCAGCAGAGGUGGCGAGGCCGCUGGAGGUUUGAAAUGGCUUUUAAAAUAGAGAAACCGGGAGGACCGACGACCGCUCCGGCGACCGCAGUUUCCAGGCACCAGAGCUGUGUGGAAUGAGGGGCGCUCAGGAGCAUCCCCUUAAUUCCAAGGAGAUCGAGUAGCGGAAACAUUUAUUGAGCGUUUACUGUGUGUCACCAACUGCCCACCAUAGGGAGGAAAAAAGGGAGGAGGGAGCGCGCCUUUCCACCUUCCGUGCCCCGUCCCCUCACCAUGGAGUCGCGGGGCCACCUGCUCCGUGCGCAUUUUCUCUCUUUCUGGCUCCCUUUGCCCCGCUUUCUCGGAAGCUCGGAGCAAGGGCGUGGAGUGCGGGGAGCAGGGCUCCGCAGGUUCAAGAGGACGCGGGCGAUCGGGGGCGGGACGGAUAUUGGGCAGGGACGCGGGAGAUGCUCAGGGUCUAGAACUGACUGCGCCGGAUUCUUGUUUAGAGGGAGGUGAAGAGAGGAAGGAGGCGCGGGUGACACCGGGGGAGGCAGGAGGAGAGGGCUGGGAGGUGGGGAGAGGGGAGGACCUCAUCCGGGCAUGUUGCUUUGACGUUCCCUGAGACAGACAUCCGGAUUUGGCGAUCUGGGAGAGAGCUAGAGCAGUGAUGGGAAUUUGGGCUUUCGCGGAAGAAAAAAAGUAACAGGACCGGGUAGAACACCCGGUAGAUAUGACAUGAGAUAUGACGGGAGGUGGGUCGGGAAAUCGAGAGCGUUCUCCUGUCUUGACUCCCCAUCCCUUCCCUCUCACCACCCACUCCACCCCAGGUGAUAAAGCCUGAAAGGUAGAGAUCCAACAGCGCUAGCGGUUGAAACGUUUUUUAAAAUAGAGAAAGCGAGAGGACCGACGGCGGCUCCGGUGACUGCUGAGUUUCCAGACAAGGGAGCUCUGUGCAAUGAGGGGCGCACAGGAGCAUGCCCUCAAUUCCAAGAAGAUCAGGUAGCCGGAAAAUUUAUUAAGCGCUUACUGUGUGCCACCUGCGUGUUUUCUGUCCAAAUCAGAAAAGGAUUUGGACAGAAAACACGCAGGAAGAAGGAAUCAACCCCUGGUACAGCAGGCAGGCGAGGUAGGGGUAGGAGUUAUGCACGUGUAUGCAAGCCUGGAUGGCUGGGAAGCCAACCUCCAUCUAAAGGCAAGCGCGGACAUGCACACACACACACACGCCUCACAAGUUGGAUUGCAAGAGAGGGUGAAGUGGGCGAGGAGACCCAGUCAGCCGUGGCAUUUGAGGAAGGUACAUUUAGGCCACCGAAUUCAUUCCACCAACUUUGCACACUUGUCUUCCUUGUGCCAGGCUCUGGGACUCAUUCCUUUUGAGGGUAAAAGUCUGCCUCCCUGGACUCCUGCCCCUCAGGCGCUCCCACAGCCCGGCACCGCCCCCUCGCCAUUCCGGAGCCAGCGCGGGCUAAGCGGGCCUGGCCGGGGAUGAGCGGAGCCACCGUCCCCAUAUUCCUCGGUGCCCCGGGACCGCAAGAGGGAGCCGUGGUUUCCGGAACUCCUCCCGCCCCUCCGGGCUUUUCCUCUGUUAGGCAGGUGGCGAUUCGCUGUCUUUGCCUGUUAUGGCCGCUGCCGUCGCCCUGGAGACAGGUAACCCUCUUCCAUGACUGUUCCUUAAAGUGGUGCGCUGUCCCAGUAGACCAUGCUCUAGCUUUCCAAGCUGCUAGAACUGUCAGUGUUUCUCAGCCUUGGCACUAUUGACAUUUUGGGACCAGUGAUUCUUCAUCGUUGGCAGAGGGGAGGGUGUUGACCUGUGCACUGUAGGAUGUCAGGUGGCAUCCCCGGACUCUACCCGCUAGGUGCCAGUAGCACCUAAUGUGCCACCCACCCCCUCCCAACAACUUUUCAACCAAACUAAAAUGUCUCUAGAGGUUGCCAUAUAUCCUCUGGGGGACAAAAUCACACUUAGUUGAGAACCACUGUCCCACAUUCUACACACAGAAGCCAAAAGGAUAUUUUUUAAAUGUAAAUGGCAUCAUGUCGUUCCCCUGUUGGAAACCCUUCAAUGUUUUCCUGUUGACCUUAGAAUAAUCUCAAAUUCCUUACUGUGGCUUAGAAGACCUUCUGUGGACUGGCCCCUGCUUGCUUUUAACUCCUCUCUUCCGUUCUGCUUCCAUGUCUAUAUAAUUGCUUCUCUCUCACUCCAGCCACACUGGCCUUCUUUCUGUUCCUUGAACAUUCAAAGCUGGUUCCCAUCCACCCUUUGUAUUUGCUGUUCUUCUGCCUAGAAUGCACCUGUUCCAGAUCACUGUUCAUUCACACAUAUCUCAGAUUACAUGUUAACUAAUCAGCAAGGCCUUCCCUGACCAUUUUAUCAAAAGAAGCCACUUACUUCCAUUCUCUAUCACAU
rnacentral:lncRNA from 1 species